GCUAUAAUAAUUUUAAAAAAAAUAAUGGUUUUGUAAACCAAAAUUGGUUAUACCUUAUAGCA
rnacentral:tRNA from 1 species